CAACAAUCCGGCCGGCGUAACCGGAUCGGACCCGGAAUUUUAUUCGGACAAGGACUAUUAACCAUACACCACUCCUCGAAAUUACUUGAGGAAUAUUUUCUGCCGCUACCAAAACAACAAUAACAUUAAACAUUUUUGCUUCCACUCCAAAUAAGUUCUAUAAGGUUGAUUCUUGGUACAUCUAAACAAAAUCUUGCACUCAGUGAAGGGGAGAACGCAAUUUAUUUUAAGAGAUCAGUACGUCUGCGGAUUAUUCUGUUGAUGCGAGCUUAUCCAAUUGAAGUUUUUUAUAUCCGAAUUCACAAACGCCUCAUCAUUUAAUCAAUUAUUCAAUUUUCAUUUGCACUCUUUCCAUUUGCAGGCAUUUAAUAAGUUUUAAACUAAGAGAAA